rnacentral:rRNA from 1 species
UGAGUAAUGUCUGGGAAACUGCCCGAUGGAGGGGGAUAACUACUGGAAACGGUAGCUAAUACCGCAUAACGUCUUCGGACCAAAGUGGGGGACCUUCGGGCCUCACACCAUCGGAUGUGCCCAGAUGGGAUUAGCUAGUAGGUGGGGUAAUGGCUCACCUAGGCGACGAUCCCUAGCUGGUCUGAGAGGAUGACCAGCCACACUGGAACUGAGACACGGUCCAGACUCCUACGGGAGGCAGCAGUGGGGAAUAUUGCACAAUGGGCGCAAGCCUGAUGCAGCCAUGCCGCGUGUAUGAAGAAGGCCUUCGGGUUGUAAAGUACUUUCAGUGGGGAGGAAGGCGUUAAGGUUAAUAACCUUGGCGACUGACGUUACCCGCAGAAGAAGCACCGGCUAACUCCGUGCCAGCAGCCGCGGUAAUACGGAGGGUGCAAGCGUUAAUCGGAAUUACUGGGCGUAAAGCGCACGCAGGCGGUCUGUCAAGUCGGAUGUGAAAUCCCCGGG